UUGACUUAUUACAGUACAGUAAACUCAGAGAGGCCAGUGUUUAAAAAACAAGAGUUUAGUGGUCUCCGGCGGGCCUGUCAGGGCGCCGCCGAAGCAACUGUUUAGGGGUAGGUUCACAAUGGUUUUGGGAGUUUUGCAACUCUGUAAUGAUCCCUCCGCUGGUUCACCAACGGAGA
rnacentral:misc_RNA from 1 species